GAUGAACGCUGGCGGCGUGCCUAAUACAUGCAAGUCGAGCGAAUGGAUUGAGAGCUUGCUCUUAUGAAGUUAGCGGCGGACGGGUGAGUAACACGUGGGUAACCUGCCCAUAAGACUGGGAUAACUCCGGGAAACCGGGGCUAAUACCGGAUAACAUUUUGAACUGCAUGGUUCGAAAUUGAAAGGCGGCUUCGGCUGUCACUUAUGGAUGGACCCGCGUCGCAUUAGCUAGUUGGUGAGGUAACGGCUCACCAAGCCAACGAUGCGUAGCCGAUCUGAGAGGGUGAUCGGCCACGCUGGGACGGAGACGCGGCCCGGACUCCUACGGGAGGCAGCAGUAGGGAAGCUUCCGCAAUGGACGAAAGUCUGACGGAGAAUCGCCGCGUGAGUGAUGAAGGCUUUCGGGUCGUAAAACGCUGUUGUUAGGGAAGAACACGUGCUAGUUGAAUAAGCUGGCCCCGUGACGGUACCUAACCAGAAAGCCACGGCUAACUACGUGCCAGCCGCCGCCGUAA
rnacentral:rRNA from 1 species